rnacentral:rRNA from 1 species
UUAUYCAUGCAAGGUCCGAGCGAGCUUGCCUAGAUGAUUGUGGUGCUUGCAUCACAUGAAACUAGAUACAAGCGAGCGGCGAACGGGUGAGUAACACGUGGGUAACCUGCCCAAGAGACUGGGAUAACACCUGGAAACAGAUGCUAAUACCGGAUAACAACACUAGACGCAUGUCUAGAGUUUGAAAGAUGGUUCUGCUAUCACUCUUGGAUGGACCUGCGGUGCAUUAGCUAGUUGGUAAGGUAACGGCUUACCAAGGCAAUGAUGCAUAGCCGAGUUGAGAGACUGAUCGGCCACAUUGGGACUGAGACACGGCCCAAACUCCUACGGGAGGCAGCAGUAGGGAAUCUUCCACAAUGGACGCAAGUCUGAUGGAGCAACGCCGCGUGAGUGAAGAAGGGUUUCGGCUCGUAAAGCUCUGUUGUUGGUGAAGAAAGAUAGAGGUAGUAACUGGCCUUUAUUCGACGGUAAUCAACUAGAAAGUCACGGCUAACUACGUGCCAGCAGCCGCGGUAAUACGUAGGUGGCAAGCGUUGUCCGGAUUUAUUGGGCGUAAAGCGAGUGCAGGCGGUUCAAUAAGUCUGAUGUGAAAGCCUUCGGCUCAACCGAAGAAUUGCAUCAGAAACUGUUGAACUUGAGUGCAGAAGAGGAGAGUGGAACUCCAUGUGUAGCGGUGGAAUGCGUAGAUAUAUGGAAGA